CAAUAGCGUAUAUUAAAGUUGUUGCAGUUAAAAAGCUCGUAGUUGGAUUUGUGGCGUACGGUGUGUUCCGGGCACUUGUUGUCUGAGUAACCUGCUGUUGCCAUCCUUGGGUGGAACCUGUGUGGCAUUAGGUUGUCGUGCAGGGGAUGCUCAUCAUUUACUGUGAAAAAAUUAGAGUGUUCAAAGCAGGCUUAUGCCGUUGAAUAUAUUAGCAUGGAAUAAUGAGAUAGGACUUUUUUGCUAUUUUGUUGGUUUGCGCAAAGAGGUAAUGAUUAAUAGGGACAGUUGGGGGUAUUCGUAUUCCAUUGUCAGAGGUGAAAUUCUUGGAUUUUUGGAAGACGAACUACUGCGAAAGCAUUUACCAAGGAUGUUUUCAUUAA
rnacentral:rRNA from 1 species